GUGGGGGAGGUGCUGAUGUGGGCGAAAGGGAAGGAAAGAAGAAAAGGAGCCAAACCCGGAAGGGAAAAUAUAACUUCCUCUCACGAAAGGGGCUAGGGGUCACGUGGGGGCGCUUAUGAAAGCUCCCCAAGGACUUGUUUUCCAUCUAGGUGGAACAGACAAUGAACACUCUUUGAGGCAUGAGGCCGAGUGACCCAGAGGCAGAGGCCGUGACCUUCUCCACGUGGUCGUCCUGGCAAACGCGGGCUCAUCUCCCAGUGUCUGGCCAGUCCUCCCUCCUUGGUGAAGCUUCUGUGACUCCUGACAUGAGGGUCUCAUUCUGUCUCCCAGGCUGGAGUGCAGUGGCU